CGAAGGUGUGCUGUGAGGCAUGCUGGAGGUAUCAGAAGUGCGAAUGCUGACAUAAGUAACGAUAAAGCGGGUGAAAAGCCCGCUCGCCGGAAGACCAAGGGUUCCUGUCCAACGUUAAUCGGGGCAGGGUGAGUCGACCCCUAAGGCGAGGCCGAAAGGCGUAGUCGAUGGGAAACAGGUUAAUAUUCCUGUACUUGGUGUUACUGCGAAGGGGGGACGGAGAAGGCUAUGUUGGCCGGGCGACGGUUGUCCCGGUUUAAGCGUGUAGGCUGGUUUUCCAGGCAAAUCCGGAAAAUCAAGGCUGAGGCGUGAUGACGAGGCACUACGGUGCUGAAGCAACAAAUGCCCUGCUUCCAGGAAAAGCCUCUAAGCAUCAGGUAACAUCAAAUCGUACCCCAAACCGACACAGGUGGUCAGGUAGAGAAUACCAAGGCGCUUGAGAGAACUCGGGUGAAGGAACUAGGCAAAAUGGUGCCGUAACUUCGGGAGAAGGCACGCUGAUAUGUAGGUGAAGUCCCUCGCGGAUGGAGCUGAAAUCAGUCGAAGAUACCAGCUGGCUGCAACUGUUUAUUAAAAACACAGCACUGUGCAAACACGAAAGUGGACGUAUACGGUGUGACGCCUGCCCGGUGCCGGAAGGUUAAUUGAUGGGGUCAGCGCAAGCGAAGCUCUUGAUCGAAGCCCCGGUAAACGGCGGCCGUAACUAUAACGGUCCUAAGGUAGCGAAAUUCCUUGUCGGGUAAGUUCCGACCUGCACGAAUGGCGUAAUGAUGGCCAGGCUGUCUCCACCCGAGACUCAGUGAAAUUGAACUCGCUGUGAAGAUGCAGUGUACCCGCGGCAAGACGGAAAGACCCCGUGAACCUUUACUAUAGCUUGACACUGAACAUUGAGCCUUGAUGUGUAGGAUAGGUGGGAGGCUUUGAAGUGUGGACGCCAGUCUGCAUGGAGCCGACCUUGAAAUACCACCCUUUAAUGUUUGAUGUUCUAACGUUGACCCGUAAUCCGGGUUGCGGACAGUGUCUGGUGGGUAGUUUGACUGGGGCGGUCUCCUCCUAAAGAGUAACGGAGGAGCACGAAGGUUGGCUAAUCCUGGUCGGACAUCAGGAGGUUAGUGCAAUGGCAUAAGCCAGCUUGACUGCGAGCGUGACGGCGCGAGCAGGUGCGAAAGCAGGUCAUAGUGAUCCGGUGGUUCUGAAUGGAAGGGCCAUCGCUCAACGGAUAAAAGGUACUCCGGGGAUAACAGGCUGAUACCGCCCAAGAGUUCAUAUCGACGGCGGUGUUUGGCACCUCGAUGUCGGCUCAUCACAUCCUGGGGCUGAAGUAGGUCCCAAGGGUAUGGCUGUUCGCCAUUUAAAGUGGUACGCGAGCUGGGUUUAGAACGUCGUGAGACAGUUCGGUCCCUAUCUGCCGUGGGCGCUGGAGAACUGAGGGGGGCUGCUCCUAGUACGAGAGGACCGGAGUGGACGCAUCACUGGUGUUCGGGUUGUCAUGCCAAUGGCACUGCCCGGUAGCUAAAUGCGGAAGAGAUAAGUGCUGAAAGCAUCUAAGCACGAAACUUGCCCCGAGAUGAGUUCUCCCUGAC
rnacentral:rRNA from 1 species